rnacentral:rRNA from 1 species
AGAAUCUUUCACAAUGGGGGAAACCCUGAUGGAGUGACGCCGCGUGGAGGUUAAGGUCUUCGGAUUGUAAACUCCUGUCAUGCGAGAACAAAGCCCGCAAGGGUGUGAUAGUACCGCAAGAGGAAGAGCCGGCUAACUCUGUGCCAGCAGCCGCGGUAAUACAGAGGUCUCACGCGUUGUUCGGAAUUACUGGGCGUAAAGGGUGCGCAGGCCGCGCGGGCAGUCAAAUGUGUAAUCCAGGGGCUCAACCCCUGAACUGCGCUUGAUACUUCCGCGCUCGAGCUUUGGAGAGGAGUCUGGAAUUCUCGGUGUAGCAGUGAAAUGCGUGGAUAUCGAGAAGAACACUUAGGGCGUAGGCAAGACUCUGGACAAAUGCUGACGCUCAUGCACGAAGGCCAGGGUAGCGAAC